rnacentral:rRNA from 1 species
AAUAUUGGUCAAUGGACGCAAGUCUGAACCAGCCAUGUCGCGUGCAGGAUGACGGCCCUAUGGGUUGUAAACUGCUUUUUUACAGGAAUAAUUGUCACUACGUGUAGUGAUUUGAAUGUACUGUAUGAAUAAGGAUCGGCUAACUCCGUGCCAGCAGCCGCGGUAAUAUGGAGGAUUCGAGCGUUAUCCGGAUUUAUUGGGUUUAAAGGGUCCGUAGGCGGUUCUUUAAGUCAGUGGUGAAAUCCCAGAGCUCAACUCUGGAACUGCCAUUGAAAAUGAAGAACUUGAAUAUCGUUGAGGUAGGCGGAAUAUGUUAUGUAGCGGUGAAAUGCAUAGAUAUUACGUAGAACCCCAAUUGGGAAGGCAGCUUACUAAGCCUUUAUUGACGCUGAUGGACGAAAGCGUGGGGAAAGAACAGGAUUAGAUACCCCGGUAGUCCCCGCCCUA